rnacentral:rRNA from 1 species
UACGGGGGGGGUAAGCGUUGUUCGGAAUUACUGGGCGUAAAGGGCUCGUAGGCGGCCAACUAAGUCAUACGUGAAAUCCCUCAGCUUAACUGGGGAACUGCGUGUGAUACUGGAUGGCUUGGAUUUGGGAGAGGGAUGCGGAAUUCCAGGUGUAGCGGUGAAAUGCGUAGAUAUCAGGAGGAACACCGGUGGCGAAGGCGGUUCUCUGGGCCUUACCUGACGCUGAGGAGCGAAAGCAUGGGGGAGCAAACAGG